rnacentral:rRNA from 1 species
AGAGUUUGAUCCUGGCUCAGGAUGAACGCUAGCUACAGGCUUAACACAUGCAAGUCGAGGGGCAGCAUGGUCUUAGCUUGCUAAGGCUGAUGGCGACCGGCGCACGGGUGAGUAACACGUAUCCAACCUGCCGUCUACUCUUGGCCAGCCUUCUGAAAGGAAGAUUAAUCCAGGAUGGGAUCAUGAGUUCACAUGUCCGCAUGAUUAAAGGUAUUUUCCGGUAGACGAUGGGGAUGCGUUCCAUUAGAUAGUAGGCGGGGUAACGGCCCACCUAGUCAACGAUGGAUAGGGGUUCUGAGAGGAAGGUCCCCCACAUUGGAACUGAGACACGGUCCAAACUCCUACGGGAGGCAGCAGUGAGGAAUAUUGGUCAAUGGGCGAUGGCCUGAACCAGCCAAGUAGCGUGAAGGAUGACUGCCCUAUGGGUUGUAAACUUCUUUUAUAAAGGAAUAAAGUCGGGUAUGCAUACCCGUUUGCAUGUACUUUAUGAAUAAGGAUCGGCUAACUCCGUGCCAGCAGCCGCGGUAAUACGGAGGAUCCGAGCGUUAUCCGGAUUUAUUGGGUUUAAAGGGAGCGUAGAUGGAUGUUUAAGUCAGUUGUGAAAGUUUGCGGCUCAACCGUAAAAUUGCAGUUGAUACUGGAUGUCUUGAGUGCAGUUGAGGCAGGCGGAAUUCGUGGUGUAGCGGUGAAAUGCUUAGAUAUCACGAAGAACUCCGAUUGCGAAGGCAGCCUGCUAAGCUGCAACUGACAUUGAGGCUCGAAAGUGUGGGUAUCAAACAGGAUUAGAUACCCUGGUAGUCCACACGGUAAACGA